GAGUUUGAUCCUGGCUCAGAAUCAACGCUGGCGGCGUGCCUAACACAUGCAAGUCGCNNGAGAAAGUGGAGCAAUCCAUGAGUAAAGUGGCGCACGGGUGAGUAACACGUGAAUCAUCUACCUUCGAGUGGGGAAUAACUGGGAGAAAUCUCAGCUAAUACCGCAUAACACCUACGGGUCAAAGCAGCAAUGCGCUUGAAGAGGAGUUCGCGGCAGAUUAGUUGGUUGGCGGGGUAAUGGCCCACCAAGACGAUGAUCUGUAUCCGGCCUGAGAGGGCGCACGGACACACUGGAACUUGAAACACGGUCCAGACUCCUACGGGAGGCACCAGUGGGGAAUUUUGCGCACAUGGGGGAAACCCUGACGCAGCAACGCCGCGUGGAGGAUGAAAUCCCUUGGGAUGUAAACUCCUUUCGAUCGGGACGAUUAUGACGGUACCGGAAGAAGAAGCCCCGGCUAACUUCGUGCCAGCAGCCGCGGUAAUACGAGGGGGGCAAGCGUUGUUCGGAAUUAUUGGGCGUAAAGGGCGCGUAGGCGGUCUGACAAGUCUGAUGUGAAAUCUCUGGGCUCAACCCAGAGUCUGCAUUAGAAACUGUCGGGCUUGAGUAUGGGAGAGGUGAGUGGAAUUUCCGGUGUAGCGGUGAAAUGCGUAGAUAUCGGAAGGAACACCUGUGGCGAAAGCGGCUCACUGGACCAUAACUGACGCUGAGGCGCGAAAGCUAGGGGAGCAAACAGGAUUAGAUACCCUGGUAGUCCUAGCCCUAAACCAUGAUUGCUUGGUGUGACAGGUACCCAAUCCUUGUCGUGCCAAACUAACGCGAUAAACAAUCCGCCUGGGGGAGUACGGUCGCAAGGCUUAAACUCAAAGGAAUUGACGGGGGCCCGCCCACCGGUGGAGCUGUGUUUAUUCGACGCAACGCAAAGACCUUACCUGGGCUCGAAAUGACAGGACAGGGGUAGAAAUAUCGCCUCCCAGCAAUGGGCCUGUAUAUAGUGCUGCAUGGCUGUCGUCAGCUCGUGUCGUGAGAUGUUGGGUUAAGUCCCGCAACGAGCGCAACCCUUAUCUCCAGUUGCUACCAUUUAGUUGAGCACUCUGGCGAAACCGCCUCGGAUAACGGGGAGGAAGGUGGGGAUGACGUCAAGUCCUCAUGGCCUUUAUGUCCAGGGCUACACACGUGCUACAAUGGCCGGUACAAACCGCUGCAAACCCGCGAGGGGGAGCUAAUCGGAAAAAGCCGGCCUCAGUUCGGAUUGAAGUCUGCAACUCGAC
rnacentral:rRNA from 1 species